AUUGAACGCUGGCGGCAGGCCUAACACAUGCAAGUCGAGCGAGCGGCGGACGGGUGAGUAAUGUCUGGGAAACUGCCUGAUGGAGGGGGAUAACUACUGGAAACGGUAGCUAAUACCGCAUACCAUCAGAUGGGCCCAGGUGGGAUUAGCUAGUAGGUGGGGUAACGGCUCACCUAGGCGACGAUCCCUAGCUGGUCUGAGCGGAUGACCAGCAAAACUGGAACUGAGACACGGUCCAGACUCCUACGGGAGGCAGCAGUGGGGAAUAUUGCAAAAUGGGCGCAAGCCGGAUGCAGCCAUGCCGCGUGUGUGAAGAAGGCCUGCGGGUUGUAAAGCACGUUCAGCGGGGAGGCGUUACCCGCAGAAGAAGCACCGGCUAACUCCGUGCCAGCAGCCGCGGUAAUAC
rnacentral:rRNA from 1 species